GGGGAAUUUUCCGCAAUGGGCGAAAGCCUGACGGAGCAACGCCGCGUGAGGGAUGAAGGCCUCUGGGCUGUAAACCUCUNUUUAUCAAGGAAGANAGAUCUGACGGUACUUGAUGAAUAAGCCACGGCUAAUUCCGUGCCAGCAGCCGCGGUAAUACGGGAGUGGCAAGCGUUAUCCGGAAUUAUUGGGCGUAAAGCGUCCGCAGGCGGUCUGUCAAGUCUGCUGUUAAAGCGUGGAGCUUAACUCCAUUUCGGCAGUGGAAACUGACAGACUAGAGUGUGGUAGGGGCAGAGNGGAAUUCCCGGUGUAGCGGUGAAAUGCGUAGAUAUCGGGAAGAACACCAGUGGCGAAGGCGNCUCGGCUGCGCCAU
rnacentral:rRNA from 1 species